GGGGAUGCUUGGUUUCGACAGGGGAGGAAUACCGUAGAUUGCAGGCCGAGCCGCCCAGUCUCGUUAAAGGGGCACAAGCCAAUAACUGGCAACAACACUUUUCGCGCUCAGCCUCAGCUGGCGCUCGCCGCUUAAUUAAGUGGCGCGCUGUUUCUCGGUUCGUCCGGUAACGGGGAAAACAGCGUCAACUAGCCGGAUGCUCCGUGUGCUGUAUCUGUGGGCACGCGGCUAAGAUUAACAGAAUGGUCUGUUGCCACCUUUGUUUGUUGUGGGGGCGCAGACGACACACUACAAUAAACUAAGCCUGUAGCAUGUCUAUGGCGGAAUCUUUUGGACAGGGGUUCGAUUCCCCUCAUCUCCACCA
rnacentral:tmRNA from 1 species